UGUUUUAAGCCUUUUAAUCUUUUCAACUGCGCUGCCCAAAUUCUAGUGUCUGAAAUGGUGCCCUGAACAAAACGUAAAGGGAGGAGCAUGGCUGGUCUGUGGUAAUCUUACUCAGGGCCUGGAGUUCUGUGGCACAUCCCCACUGGGGAUGUAUUUGUAGGUUUGACUGAGGAACACUUGGGUAGAUACUCCUCCUAAGGGACAGAACUUGGUCAGUUGACAAUGGAUCAUGACAGAGAGCUGCUUUAGAUUCUUUGAAUGCCCUCUCCAAGGACUCAUGAAAGAGCUCUGAGAAAGAAGACCAAACUAAAAGGAGUGCUUCAAGUUUCUGUUCACACCCACAGCCAACUUCUGCAUUAUAGCUCAAGCGUAAUCAUGUGCUGUUCAAGAUUGGAUAAGGCCCUGUUUUCCACUUCCGUGAAAGGACUGCUGGACCAACAGGAAAGAGAAUGCAGAGAGGCCCCGGCAGGGAACAGAGGCAGCUAUAGAAGACAUUCUUUGGUGGACUUCAAGAAAUAGCAUGGGUGUCUCAGGCCAGACAGGCAGGAAAGCUGUGGCUGGUGUCACACCACAGUCAAAGGAUUGUGCUAGAAGGCUCCCAUUUUGUUUCAUAUCCUAGGUUAUUCUGUUUUCAAGCUGAUGUGAGAAACUUCCUGUGUUAUUUUGAAUAAUCGAAUAGAGGCUAAAAUUCCUUGAGGAGCUAGAUAAAUACCAUUCAGCUACUGUUAUUGCAACAUUCAUUUUGGUUCUGGACUGGUAUGGAUGGAUGAUAAACCAUCUUUAUGAAGAAAAUCUUUCUCAAUAAUUAUAGCAGUGGGCCUUGGUAUAAAUCUUUCCCAUUACAAAGUACUUUUGCAUUCACUGGGUAUUGGAAAAGUGGACUGGGCCAUUCUCAUUGUAUGCUUUCUUCCAGGGACGUAAUUCCAUCAAAGGGUGGAGAUGUUGUCAGGGGAAUGUCUGCAUGGGACAGAGGCUUUGAAUCUACCAUCCGGUGAUUUAUUUUCAGGGAUUCUGAGGAAGCAAGGGACUUUGUCUGGUUAUCUAAGUUUAAGUUGACUUUAGCUCUGGGGAUGCUAUAGCUAGCCCUCAUAAAUUGUUUCUUCUUGCUAUUUGCUUUCUUAACACUGCAAGUUCCCUUCAUGGGACUCUGUUCUGUAGCAUUCACUCUGAGGUGGCUCUUCUCACUGCCUACUACUUACUGGUGCUGUGUGAUAGGUGCUCAGUCCAAGUUCCUGAUGGACUGGCUGAUGGAACAGCAAAACCCUCUCAAGGACAGCACUGCAGAAGGCUUUGUAUCCAUUAGGUCUUUCUUAGAGGUUGGGGAGACAAAGUAGUUCUUCGUGGUCCAUUUUCCCCUCUUUGCCACACCACUUUAUUGUAGCAAGUGUAGGAACAUAAAACUUACACCUACAUUCUUCUUAACAUUUCUUAGCACUAGCACAUUAACAUGGAGACAAGGAGAAAUGAAGUUUCCCAGAGAGAAUGUUCAUAUUGAUCAUAAAAAAGAGCUUAAAAACAUAAAAAAUAAAAUGCCAACUUAAUGAUCAUGAUGUCUUAUAUUUGUUCAUCAUUUUGCACUUUAAAAAGCACUUCAAUAUAUAUUACUUGGGAGGCUGAAAAGAGUGAUUCAUUAUGUAGUGAAGUGCCACACUUUUCAAUGUUCUCAUAAAAAAAAAAAUAAUUCUUAAUGUAUCCACGAUUGAAGAUCAUGUAGGGAUAAAGAAAGAUGUAUCUUUUCAGCCCAGAAACUCUCACUUGAUUCAGGGUUCCCCCCGCCAUGGGAAUAACUCAGUUGUGUCUUUUGUUGUUAGACUAAAUCCUAAAUCCUAAUACUAAGUACUAAAGUAUUUUAGUCAAUGUCUACCUUUCUUUUUCUUCACAGAAUAACAUCUUAUUUUCUUUCUUUCUUUCUUUCUUUCUUUCUUUCUUUCUUUUUUCUUUCUUUCUUUUUCUUUCUUUCUUUCUUUCUU
rnacentral:lncRNA from 1 species